rnacentral:rRNA from 1 species
GACGAACGCUUGCGGCGCGCUUAACACAUGCAAGUCGAACGGUGAACGGGGCUUCGGCCCCCGGAUCAGUGGCGAACGGGUGCGUAACACGUGGGCAACCUGCCCCUCACUCUGGGAUAACCCCGGGAAACCGGAUCUAAUACCGGAUACUCCUGCUGGAUCGCAUGGUCCGGCCGGGAAAGGUCCGCCGGUGAGGGAUGGGCCCGCGGCCUAUCAGCUUGUUGGUGAGGUAACGGCUCACCAAGGCGACGACGGGCAGCUGGUCUGAGAGUACGACCAGCAACACUGGGACUGAGAUACGGCCCAGACUCCUACGGGAGGCAGCAGUGGGGAAUCUUGCGCAAUGGGCGAAAGCCUGACGCAGCGACGCCGCGUGGGGGAUGAAGGCCCUCGGGUUGUAAACCCCUUUCGGAAAGGACGAAGCGGUUCCGUGACGGUACCUGCAGAAGAAGCCCCGGCUAACUACGUGCCAGCAGCCGCAGUAAAAC